GACGAACGCUGGCGGCGUGCUUAACACAUGCAAGUCGAACGGAAAGGCCUGCUUUCCCUUGUGGAUUGCGGUUACUCGAGUGGCGAACGGGUGAGUAACACGUGAGUUAUCUUCCCCCAACUUGUGUAUAAACCUGGGAAACUGGGUCUAAUUCCCGAUAGGACUGCAGGGUGGGGCCGGUGGUGGAAGAGGAUUUUCUAGGGGUUGGGGAUGAGCUCGCUGCUUAUCAGCUUGUUGGUGGGGUAGUGGCUUACCAAGGCUUUGACGGGUAGCCGGCCUGAGAGGGUGACCGGCCACAUUGGGACUGAGACACGGCCCAGACUCCUACGGGAGGCAGCAGUGGGGAAUAUUGCACAAUGGGCGGAAGCCUGAUGCAGCGACGCCGCGUGGGGGAUGACGGCCUUCGGGUUGUAAACUCCUUUCGACCGCGAGGAAGCCACCUGGUUGGAAGGGUGGUGACGGUAGUGGUAGAAGAAGCACCGGCUAACUACGUG
rnacentral:rRNA from 1 species